CAGUAGCCGCGGUAACACGUAGGGUGCGAGCGUUAAUCGGAAUUACUGGGCGUAAAGCGUGCGCAGGCGGUUGUGUAAGACAGGUGUGAAAUCCCCGGGCUUAACCUGGGAAUGGCGCUUGUGACUGCAAAGCUAGAGUGCGGCAGAGGGGGAUGGAAUUCCGCGUGUAGCAGUGAAAUGCGUAGAUAUGCGGAGGAACCCCGAUGGCGAAGGCAAUCCCCUGGGCCUGCACUGACGCUCAUGCACGAAAGCGUGGGGAGCAAACAGGAUUAGAUACCCCGGUAGUCCCUGUCUCUUAUAC
rnacentral:rRNA from 1 species